GGAUGAGGUGGAUAGAUGGAGUCACUGAAGCAGACACCAUGAGCUUAAGUGGACUCUGGGGGAUGGUGGAGGACAGGAAGGUUUGGAACAAUGUUGUCCAUGGGGUUGCGAUGGGUUGGACGCAUCUUCACAACUAACAAUGAAAACAACAAAAAGAAAG